rnacentral:rRNA from 1 species
GACGUAGGGCGCGAGCGUUGUCCGGAUUUAUUGGGCGUAAAGAGCUCGUAGGUGGUUUGUCGCGUUGUUCGUGAAAACUCACAGCUUAACUGUGGGCGUGCGGGCGAUACGGGCAGACUGGAGUACUGCAGGGGAGACUGGAAUUCCUGGUGUAGCGGUGGAAUGCGCAGAUAUCAGGAGGAACACCGGUGGCGAAGGCGGGUCUCUGGGCAGUAACUGACGCUGAGGAGCGAAAGCGUGGGGAGCGAACAGGA